UGGGGAAUCUUCCGCAAUGGGCGAAAGCCUGACGGAGCAAUACCGCGUGAGGGAGGAAUGCCUUUGGGUUGUAAACCUCUCUUCUCAGGGAAGAAGAUCUGACGGUACCUGAGGAAUAAGUAUCGGCUAACUCCGUGCCAGCAGCCGCGGUAAUACGGAGGAUGCAAGCGUUAUCCGGAAUCAUUGGGCGUAAAGCGUCCGCAGGUGGUUUCCAAAGUCUGCUGUUAAAGACUGGAGCUCAACUCCGGAACGGCGGUGGAAACUUGGAAACUAGAGUUCGGUAGGGGUUGCAGGAAUUCCCAGUGUAGCGGUGAAAUGCGUAGAUAUUGGGAAGAACAUCGGUGGCGAAGGCGUGCUACUGGACCGUAACUGACACUCAGGGACGAAAGCUAGGGGAGCGAAAGGGAUUAGAUACCCCUGUAGUCCUAGCUGUAAACGAUGGAAACUAGGUGUGGCUUA
rnacentral:rRNA from 1 species